AUAGAACAUAAUUAGCUGAGCAAUAGCAAUAUGGACAUUAUCAAAUAGUACAGGUUUUUAGACUGAAAAGUUGUAUUUCUUAAACUGUGUACUUUGUAUUUAAGAGCUUUUGCAAACUGACAAGAUGUUCGAAAUGGAACACCUUAAUUCUCAUACAAUGACCUCUUACACAUAUUCAGUGCAUAAGAUAUUUAGACUUUAAGAGGCCAUUUUUUCCAAGAUCAAUGUAACACCAAGUCAAGGCAUUGCCUAUGUCAUGUUCAACCUUAAGGUUUAGUCCAAACAUAGAUAAGAUGUCUAGGCCAUGACCAUAGACUGAUUAAGAUGUUCCCAUGUGAAAUGACCAAGUCAAGGCCGCGUCAUUCAAUGGUCAUGACCUUUGUAACGGAUCGACAGGCACCCUGACUGGGUACCUCCGUUGAAGGAUGCUCCUAGCGCUUCCUGAGGGCUCCAAGCACUCCAGCUGACACCAUAACCACCGUAGACUCCUUCAGAGAGCAAGACAGGAACAAGCUCUUAUAAGAGCUUAGUAGUGAUAUAGCAAGGGAGUAUGACUAGCAUAGCAAUCCCUUGUAGCAGAUUUUCCCAAUAAGGGACGGCACUCCAAAUUGAGGGUGAAGUAGAACUGAAGUUUUUAAUCCAACACUCUGCUUUUAUGCCCAUUUUACAAACAUAGCACUGCCCACAGGGUUUGGCAGAACAACCAAUCAAUACGUACAAUACACACAGACACUCCCACACAAAAUCCUCCCCUCUGCCUGUGAUACAAUUACCUUACACAAUGGGUUAAUAUAAUUAUACCAGGCAGGAAAAUACACAGUUUUACACAAUAUUUAUAACUUUAAAAGUAUGCCUCACAAUCACACGUCAAAAUCAUACAAAUUGGUCCAGUGGGUCAAAAGUUAGAUCGACGUCCUUUGUGACCAAAUGAAGCAUUUAUUUUCUGCCCAAAACCAGUUCCACAGAGUCUUCUAUCCUGGAGAUAAUUGGGAAGUAAUCCAAUUAUCUCCAAGGAAAUAGGCAAAACUCCAUUGAACACAUGGUAGCAAAAGACAAUAAAAUACAUAAAAAUAUUUAACUGUGCAGCUCUUGCAUAAAACAGGUACAUUCAACAUAUCCCCAGAUAGAUUAUUACUGAAUGGCGCUCAGAUCACAUACAUACAGUUCAAUUGCCAUGCAACCAAAGUCUUUCACAUAGUUUUUGUUAUACGAAUGGGCUCCAUGGCAUAGCUAUCUGGGGUUCAUAUAGGGCAAGUACCGAAUGACCCGGCUUUCAGGUCUUUGCAGGGGAAAAUCAAGC